rnacentral:rRNA from 1 species
GAACGGUAACAGGUCUUCGGAUGCUGACGAGUGGCGAACGGGUGAGUAAUACAUCGGAACGUGCCUAGUAGUGGGGGAUAACUACUCGAAAGAGUAGCUAAUACCGCAUGAGAUCUACGGAUGAAAGCAGGGGACCUUCGGGCCUUGUGCUACUAGAGCGGCUGAUGGCAGAUUAGGUAGUUGGUGGGGUAAAAGCUUACCAAGCCUGCGAUCUGUAGCUGGUCUGAGAGGACGACCAGCCACACUGGGACUGAGUCACGGCCCAGACUCCUACGGGAGGCAGCAGUGGGGAAUUUUGGACAAUGGGCGAAAGCCUGAUCCAGCAAUGCCGCGUGCAGGAUGAAGGCCCUCGGGUUGUAAACUGCUUUUGUACGGAACGAAAAGCCUGGGGCUAAUAUCCCCGGGUCAUGACGGUACCGUAAGAAUAAGCACCGGCUAACUACGUGCCAGCAGCCGCGGUAAUACGUAGGGUGCAAGCGUUAAUCGGAAUUACUGGGCGUAAAGCGUGCGCAGGCGGUUUUGUAAGACAGUGGUGAAAUCCCCGGGCUCAACCUGGGAACUGCCAUUGUGACUGCAAGGCUAGAGUGCGGCAGAGGGGGAUGGAAUUCCGCGUGUAGCAGUGAAAUGCGUAGAUAUGCGGAGGAACACCGAUGGCGAAGGCAUCCCCUGGUGCUGCACUGACGCUCAUGC